GAUCCUGGCUUAGGAUGAACGCUGGCGGCGUGCUUAACACAUGCAAGUCGAACGAAGCAUUCCAACUCUCGGAGGAAGAAAUGACUGAGUGGCGGACGGGUGAGUAACGCGUGGGUAACCUGCCUUAUACAGGGGGAUAACAGUUAGAAAUGACUGCUAAUACCGCAUAACCCGCUAGUACCGCAUGGUACAGACGGAAAAGAUUUAUCGGUAUAAGAUGGACCCGCGUCUGAUUAGCUAGUUGGUGAGGUAAUGGCUCACCAAGGCGACGAUCAGUAGCCGGCUUGAGAGAGUGAACGGCCACAUUGGGACUGAGACACGGCCCAAACUCCUACGGGAGGCAGCAGUGGGGAAUAUUGCACAAUGGGGGAAACCCUGAUGCAGCAACGCCGCGUGAAGGAAGAAGUAUUUCGGUAUGUAAACUUCUAUCAGCAGGAAAGAAAAUGACGGUACCUGACUAAGAAGCCCCGGCUAACUACGUGCCAGCAGCUGC
rnacentral:rRNA from 1 species